GCCUGGUUGGCUCAGUCGGUUGAGCAUCUGACUUUGGCGCAGGUCAUGAUCUCACAGUUCAUGAGUUCGAGCCCCACGUCAGGCU
rnacentral:tRNA from 1 species